UACGUAGGGUGCAAGCGUUGUCCGGAAUUAUUGGGCGUAAAGAGCUCGUAGGCGGUUUGUCGCGUCUGCUGUGAAAUCCCAGGGCUUAACCCUGGGCCUGCAGUGGGUACGGGCAAACUAGAGUGCGGUAGGGGAGAUCGGAAUUCCUGGUGUAGCGGUGAAAUGCGCAGAUAUCAGGAGGAACACCGGUGGCGAAGGCGGAUCUCUGGAACGGUACUGACGCUGAGACGCGAAAGCGUGGGGAGCGAACAGG
rnacentral:rRNA from 1 species